UACGGAGGAUGCGAGCGUUAUCCGGAUUUAUUGGGUUUAAAGGGUGCGCAGGCGGCCUGUUAAGUCAGCGGUAAAAGCCCGGGGCUCAACCCCGGCGAGCCGUUGAAACUGGCGGGCUGGAGUUGGAGAGAAGUACGCGGAAUGCGCGGUGUAGCGGUGAAAUGCUUAGAGAUCAUACAGAACACCGAUUGCGAAGGCAGCUUACCAAGCUACUUCUGACGUUGAGGCACGAAAGCGUGGGGAGCAAACAGG
rnacentral:rRNA from 1 species